rnacentral:rRNA from 1 species
AUUGAACGCUGGCGGCAGGCCUAACACAUGCAAGUCGAGCGAGCGGCGGACGGGUGAGUAAUGUCUGGGAACCUGCCUGAUGGAGGGGGAUAACUACUGGAAACGGUAGCUAAUACCGCAUACCAUCAGAUGUGCCCAGAUGGGAUUAGCGAGUAGGUGGGGUAACGGCUCACCUAGGCGACGAUCCCUAGCUGGUCUGAGAGUAUGACCAGCCACACUGGAAUUGAGACACGGUCCAGACUCCGAAGGGAGGCAGCAGUGGGGAAUAUUGCACAAUGGGGGCAAGCCUGAUGCAGCCAUGCCGCGUGGGUUAAGAAGGCCUUCGGGUUGAAAGGCACUUUCAGCGGGGAGGCGUUACCCGCAGAAGAAGCACCGGCUAACGCCGUGCCAGCAGCCGCGGUAAUAC